CAACCAUCUCGAAUCUCUCAUUGUAAAUGGCCCUGAAGUUUUGAGCAAAGAUCAUGACGGAUUGUAAAUCAGCUUUUGACUAAGAUAGAUAGUGUGGAGUCACUCAAUAAUGUUUUGCUUAUUGGAAUGACUAACAGAAAGGACAUGCUUGAUGAAGCUCUCUUACCC